AACGCGAAGAACCUUACCUGGGCUUGAACCGCACAGGACCAGCUUGAGAAAUCAGGCCUUCCCGCAAGGGACCUGUGUAGAGGUGCUGCAUGGCUGUCGUCAGCUCGUGCCGUGAGGUGUUGGGUUAAGUCCCGCAACGAGCGCAACCCUUGUCCUGUGUUGCCACUCCGUAAGGAAGCACUCUCAGGAGACCGCCAGCGAUAAGCUGGAGGAAGGUGGGGAUGAUGUCAAGUCAUCAUGGCCUUUAUGUCCAGGGCUACACACGUGCUACAAUGGGCGGUACAAAGCGCUGCAAACCCGCGAGGGGGAGCUAAUCGCAAAAAACCGUUCUCAGUUCGGAUCGCAGGCUGCAACUCGCCUGCGUGAAGCUGGAAUCGCUAGUAAUGGCGUAUCAGAAUGAUGCCGUGAAUACGUUCCCGGGCCUUGUACACACCGACUGUAC
rnacentral:rRNA from 1 species